rnacentral:rRNA from 1 species
AAUGAACGUUGGCGGCGUGGAUUAGGCAUGCAAGUCGAGCGCUCAUAGCAAUAUGGGAGCGGCGAACGGCGUAGUAAUGCAUCGGAACGUACCCUUCGGUCGGGGAUAGCCACGGGAAACUGUGGGUAAUACCCGAUGAUAUCUGCGGAUCAAAGGUGAGAUUCCGCCGGAGGAGCGGCUGAUGUGAUAUUAGCUUGAUGGUGGGGUAAUGGCCUACCAUGGCGAUGAUGUCUAGGGGGUGUGAGAGCAUGGCCCCCCACGACCGGAACUGAGACACUGUCCGGACACCUACGGGUGGCUGCAGUCGAGAAUCUUCCGCAAUGGACGAAAGUCUGACGGAGCGACGCCGCGUGCGGGAUGAAGGCCCUUGGGUUGUAAACCGCUGUCAGAGGGGAGUGAAAUCUCCGGGGGGUACGUCCCCCGGACGUUGACAGAGCCUCAAAGGAAGCACGGGCUAAGUACGUG